rnacentral:rRNA from 1 species
UACGGAGGGUGCAAGCGUUGCUCGGAAUUAUUGGGCGUAAAGGGCAAGUAGGUGGUCUUAUUUGUCUGGGGUGAAAGCCUUGAGCUUAACUCAAGAAGUGCCCCGGAAACGGUGAGACUAGAGUCCUGGAGAGGGUCGUGGAAUUCCCGGUGUAGCGGUGAAAUGCGUAGAGAUCGGGAGGAACACCAGAGGCGAAGGCGGCGACCUGGACAGGAACUGACACUCAACUGCGAAAGCGUGGGGAGCAAACAGG